rnacentral:rRNA from 1 species
AUUGAACGCUGGCGGCAGGCCUAACACAUGCAAGUCGAACGGUAACAGGAAGAAGCUUGCUUCUUUGCUGACGAGUGGCGGACGGGUGAGUAAUGUCUGGGAAACUGCCUGAUGGAGGGGGAUAACUACUGGAAACGGUAGCUAAUACCGCAUAACGUCGCAAGACCAAAGAGGGGGACCUUCGGGCCUCUUGCCAUCGGAUGUGCCCAGAUGGGAUUAGCUAGUAGGUGGGGUAACGGCUCACCUAGGCGACGAUCCCUAGCUGGUCUGAGAGGAUGACCCGCCCCCCUGGAACUGAGACCCCGUCCAGGCUCCUACGGGAGGCCGCAGUGGGGAAUAUUGCACCAUGGGGGCCAGCCUGAUGCCGCCCUGCCGCCUGUAUUGAGAAGGCCUUCCGGUUGUAAAGUACUUUCAGCGGGGAGGAAGGGAGUAAAGUUAAUACCUUUGCUCAUUGACGUUACCCGCAGAAGAAGCACCGGCUAACUCCGUG